rnacentral:rRNA from 1 species
GUUGUAUGGUUAAGUGACUAAGCGUACACGGUGGAUGCCUGGGCAGUCAGAGGCGAUGAAGGACGUACUAACUUGCGAUAAGCGCAGAUAAGGCAGUAAGAGCCGUUUGAGUCUGCGAUUUCCGAAUGGGGAAACCCAACUGCAUAAGCAGUUACUGUUAACUGAAUACAUAGGUUAACAGAGCAAACCGGGGGAACUGAAACAUCUAAGUACCCCGAGGAGAAGAAAUCAACCGAGAUUCCGGUAGUAGCGGCGAGCGAACCUGGAUUAGCCCUUAAGCACUCGGUGAAGUAGGUGAACAAGCUGGAAAGCUUGGCGAUACAGGGUGAUAGCCCCGUAACCGACGCUUCAUCGAGCGUGAAAUCGAGUAGGGCGGGACACGUGAUAUCCUGUCUGAAUAUGGGGGGACCAUCCUCCAAGGCUAAAUACUCCUGACUGACCGAUAGUGAACCAGUACCGUGAGGGAAAGGCGAAAAGAACCCCUGUGAGGGGAGUGAAAUAGAACCUGAAACCGUGUACGUACAAGCAGUAGGAGCACCUUCGUGGUGUGACUGCGUACCUUUUGUAUAAUGGGUCAGCGACUUAUAUUCAGUGGCAAGGUUAACCGUAUAGGGGAGCCGUAGCGAAAGCGAGUCUUAACUGGGCGCUCAGUCUCUGGAUAUAGACCCGAAACCGGGUGAUCUAGCCAUGGGCAGGUUGAAGG